UACGGAGGGUGCAAGCGUUAAUCGGAAUUACUGGGCGUAAAGCGCACGCAGGCGGUUGGAUAAGUUAGAUGUGAAAGCCCCGGGCUCAACCUGGGAAUUGCAUUUAAAACUGUCCGGCUAGAGUCUUGUAUAGGGGGGUAGAAGUCCAGGUGUAGCGGUGAAAUGCGUAGAGAUCUGGAGGAAUACCGGUGGCGAAGGCGGCCCCCUGGCCAAAGACUGACGCUCAGGUGCGAAAGCGUGGGGAGCAAACAGG
rnacentral:rRNA from 1 species